rnacentral:lncRNA from 10 species
UUCACAUCCCUGCCACCUCCACAGAAACAGGUGCUGGUAUCCAAGUCUGAGACCCAUAGAUGGUUCACAUCACAGGACUCUGUGUAGACAACCCCCAGUACCAGUCCAGAGCCUGGUAGACUUCCUAGGUGGCUAGACCCAUAAAAGAAAUAACAAUCACUACAGCUCAGCUCUCAGGAAGCCACAUCCAUAGGAAAAGGGGGAGAGUACUACAUCAAAGAAACACCCUGUGGGACAACAGAAUCUGAACAACAGCCUUCAGCCCUAGACCUUCUCUCUGAUAGCGCCUACUCAAAUGAGAAGGAAUGAGAAAACCAACUCUGGUAUUUUUCCCCGACUUGCAGCAGCACAUCCCAUUUCCUUGAGUUAUGAAAGUGUUCCCCUGAGAGAGACUCCAGUAACACCCUUCCUCCUCCCAAAGAAUGUGGUAUAUGGCCGGGCGCGGUGGCUCACGCCUAUAAUCCCAGCACUUUGGGAGGCCGAGGUGGGCGGAUCACCUGAGGUCGGGAGUUCCAGACCAGACUGACCAAAAUGGAGAAACCCCGUCUCUACUACAAAUACAAAAUUAGCCGGGUGUGUUGGCGCAUGCGUGUAAUCCUAGCUACUUGGGAGGCUGAGGCAGGAGAAUCGCCUGAACCCGGGAGGCAGAGGUUGCCGUGAGCCGAGAUGGCGCCAUUGCACUGCAGUCUGGGCAAGAAGAGCGAAACUCCGUCUCAACAACAACAACAAAAAAAGUGGUACAAAUGAAUCGUUUAUGGAACAACCUAUACAAUACCUUGGUGAACACUUCUUGUGCACUUGAGAAGAGUGAAUCUGCUGCGCACACUGCUCUGAUUGUGUCAGUUGGGUAAGUCAGUCUGUAGCACUGAUCAAUAUCGAAUAUUCUUCUUACUGAUGUUUUUUGUUUCAUUGUUUUGUCAAUUAUUAAGAUUGUUUAAAAUCUACUAUGAUGAAGAAUUUAUCUAUUUCUCCUGUUAGUUCUGUCAUUAUGCUUCAUGGAUUUUGAAGUUUAUACACUUUAUUCAUUUUGAAAAUCAUCCUUAUUCUUCCUGCUAAUACUCCAUAAUUUGAAGUCUGCUUUGUAAGAUGUUCAUAUAGCCAUGAAACUCCUUAAGUUUACCUGCACAAUGUAUGUUGUUUUCCAUCUUAUCAACCUGAGUCAUACAUGGUUGUCUCCUGUAGGACACAAAUAGUUUGAUCAUUUUUUUAAAAUCUAAUCUGUUAAUACAUACCUUUUAAUAAGAGUUUAGUUCAUUUAACUUCAUGUGAUUGUUUGCUUUUAAGUCCACUGUAUUGAUUUGUUCUAUUUGUACCAUUUCUUUCACUGAGUGUGUACUUCUCCUUUCCUUUCUUCAUGUGGGUUAUCUGAAUCGUUUUAAAUAUUAAAUUUGAAAUCCUCCACUGGAUUUUUAGUUGCACUUCUUUUUAUUAAAAAAAAUACCACUCUCAUAUUUACAAUGUGCAUCAUUGUCUGACCAUAGUCUUCUUAGGGCUAACACUG